rnacentral:rRNA from 1 species
CAGCCGCCGCGGUAAAACGUAGGUGGCAAGCGUUAUCCGGAAUUAUUGGGCGUAAAGCGCGCGUAGGCGGUUUUUUAAGUCUGAUGUGAAAGCCCACGGCUCAACCGUGGAGGGUCAUUGGAAACUGGAAAACUUGAGUGCAGAAGAGGAAAGUGGAAUUCCAUGUGUAGCGGUGAAAUGCGCAGAGAUAUGGAGGAACACCAGUGGCGAAGGCGACUUUCUGGUCUGUAACUGACGCUGAGGAGCGAAAGCGUGGGGAGCGAACAGGAUUAGAUACCCCGGUAGUCCCUGUCUCUUAUAC